GACGAACGCUGGCGGCGUGCUUAACACAUGCAAGUCGAACGGAAAGGCCCUGCUUUUGUGGGGUGCUCGAGUGGCGAACGGGUGAGUAACACGUGAGUAACCUGCCCUUGACUUUGGGAUAACUUCAGGAAACUGGGGCUAAUCCCGGAUAGGAGCUCCUGCUGCAUGGUGUGGGUUGGAACGUUUCGGCGGUUGGGGAUGGACUCGCGGCUUAUCAGCUUGUUGGUGGGGUAGUGGCUUACCAAGGCUUUGACGGGUAGCCGGCCUGAGAGGGUGACCGGCCACAUUGGGACUGAGAUACGGCCCAGACUCCUACGGGAGGCAGCAGUGGGGAAUAUUGCACAAUGGGCGGAAGCCUGAUGCAGCAACGCCGCGUGCGGGAUGACGGCCUUCGGGUUGUAAACCGCUUUCGCCUGUGACGAAGCGUGAGUGACGGUAAUGGGUAAAGAAGCACCGGCUAACUACGUG
rnacentral:rRNA from 1 species